rnacentral:rRNA from 1 species
GACGAACGCUGGCGGCGCGCCUAACACAUGCAAGUCGAACGGAGUCACGAGGAGCUUGCUUUUCUUGACUUAGUGGCGGACGGGUGAGUAACGCGUGAGUAACCUGCCCUGGAGUGGGGGACAACAGUUGGAAACGACUGCUAAUACCGCAUAAGCCCACGGAUCCGCAUGGAUCUGCGGGAAAAGGAUUUAUUCGCUUCAGGAUGGACUCGCGUCCAAUUAGCUAGUUGGUGAGGUAACGGCCCACCAAGGCGACGAUUGGUAGCCGGACUGAGAGGUUGAACGGCCACAUUGGGACUGAGACACGGCCCAGACUCCUACGGGAGGCAGCAGUGGGGGAUAUUGCACAAUGGGGGAAACCCUGAUGCAGCGACGCCGCGUGGAGGAAGAAGGUUUUCGGAUUGUAAACUCCUGUCGUUAGGGACGAUAAUGACGGUACCUAACAAGAAAGCACCGGCUAACUACGUG